rnacentral:rRNA from 1 species
AAGGCCUUGCGUCGAUGGAGCGGCCGAUGCCGGAUUAGCUAGUUGGUGAGGUAAAGGACUCACCAAGGCGACGAUCCGUAGCUGGUCUGAGAGGACGACCCAGCCACACUGGGACUGAGACACGGCCCAGACUCCUACGGGAGGCGAGCAGUGGGGAAGUCUUGGACAAUGGGCGCAAGCCUGAUCCAGCAAUGCCGCGUGUGGGAAGAAGGCCCUCGGGUUGUAAACCACUUUUGGCGGGAAAGAAAUGGUCUGUGCUAAUACCACGGAUUGAUGACGGUACCCGCAGAAUAAGCACCGGCUAACUACGUG